rnacentral:rRNA from 1 species
AGCGAACGCUGGCGGCAGGCUUAACACAUGCAAGUCGAGCGGGCACUUUCGGGUGUCAGCGGCGGACGGGUGAGUAACGCGUGGGAACGUGCCCUCUGGUUCGGAAUAACUCAGGGAAACUUGAGCUAAUACCGGAUACGCCCUUUUGGGGAAAGGCUUGCUGCCGGAGGAUCGGCCCGCGUCUGAUUAGCUAGUUGGUUAGGUAACGGCUCACCAAGGCGACGAUCAGUAGCUGGUCUGAGAGGAUGAUCAGCCACACUGGGACUGAGACACGGCCCAGACUCCUACGGGAGGCAGCAGUGGGGAAUAUUGGACAAUGGGCGCAAGCCUGAUCCAGCCAUGCCGCGUGAGUGAUGAAGGCCUUAGGGUUGUAAAGCUCUUUUAUCCGGGACGAUAACGACGGUACCGGAGGAAUAAGCCCCGGCUAACUUCGUG